AUGACGACGACCGCCACGACGGCCCACUCCGGCGCGGCGGGCGCGUCGUCGUCCUUCUACGCGCCGCCCUCCCGCCGCCUCCACUUCUUCGUGCGCGCCACCGACUCCAAGACCAUCGCGAUGCACGCGGCCGCGGACGACACCGUCGCCGCCGUGCUCGCCCACCUCGCCGACCGCGGCUACGGCUGCGACCUGCGCCUCCUCCACGCGGGGCGCCAGCUCGAGCCGGAGGCCACCGUCGCCUCGCUCGGCCUCCCGCCCGACUCCACCCUCCAGCUCGCGGCGCGCCUCCGCUCCACCCCGCACCCCAAGGCCUGGCAGCUCGCCUCGCACAUCGCCGCCACCGCCGCCUCCUGGGACGCCGGCACCGCCACCGCCAACACCCUGGAAGACCUCGUCAAGGAGUACAUCUUCUGCUGCGACCUCGGCAGCGAGCAGAACCGGAAUGAUCUCUGGGCCAAGGGCGCCGAGGAGCACCUCGACAUCUUCCUCCAGUCGGGCGCCGCCAUCGCGCUGGUUCACCUCUACCUCUCAGAUUCCUCCUCCUCUCGCGUCUACGCCGAGCGCGCCAUCAGGUGCUUUCUCAGCACCGACCCUGCGACCUUACCGCCCAAUGUAAGGCUCGUCACGGCGCCGGUGCUGCUGAAAUUCUGCCGCUUGCUUUCUCUGGCCGCGGGCAAUAAGGAUCCCCUCUACAAGUCAUGCCGUCAUACACUUGCAUCGGUGCUCUGCUUGCCACUCUCAGGGCUCGUUGCCUCCAAAUCUCCUACCAAGGUGAUCGAGCAGGUCCUCCCGUUUGCCAGAGAAAUAGUUGAAUUGGUUCUGGAUGGACUGGGAUCAGAGCCCAUGAUGGUGUCAAGGACAGACCUUGAGGAGCUCUCAAACUUCUUUCAAGUCUUGCGCCAGCAGGUACUCCUUUGGAUGCCAAAGAAUGUGUACAGCAGGGAGCGUAAGCGUACCGACACAUGGGUGUGGGAGUUGCAGGAAAUGUCCACGAACCUGCUGAAAAAGAUGGAUGAGUGUCUGGAGAGGUUGGAGAUGGAUCUUCCAUCUUUAUCAUCUGACAGUGUGGGGGUCAUAGAAAGUCAACCAUUCAUGGCCAGCCGAUUACAUAUACUGGCCAUAUUGACAGAACUGGAUAUUCGAGGAUGUGGCGCACAACCUUCGGUUAGUAGUGCUGGCACACAAAGCACCUCUCAAUGUACCCGUGCGCUGUUGCAAGAGGAACGAGCAUCACCACUGGCUCCUGAAGCAUAA
rnacentral:rRNA from 1 species